UGGUUAGAGCGUCGUGCUAAUAACGCGAAGGUCGCGGGUUCGAUCCCCUCAUGGGCCA
rnacentral:tRNA from 1 species